AAUCACAUCGUUAGUGCAGGGGUGUCAGAGUCAUUUUAUGUUCAUGGGCCACAUCCCCCUAAUUUGAUCUCAAGUGGGCCAGACCAGUAAACCACUCCAGAAAGAUCAGAAACUUUAUCUGCCACAGAGUUUCUUGUCAGCUUGAUGUUGGCCAUUGUAGGGAAGAAAAUAAUUUUACGGACCCGGGAGAGAGGGGUAAUAUUCAAACAAAAAACUCUGAAUUUCUAAGAUUAAAGUUAACGAAAAAGAACUUGGAUAUUCUCUGAGAUUAAAGUGGUAAAUGUGGAAAUGGAAUUAAUUACUUCUCGGCAAUGUUCACACUUCACACUGCGCGGUCAUCCAGUGGGCCUGAUUGGACCCUUUGACGGGCCGUAUUUUUGACACCCCUGCUCUAAAGCAUGAGAGGCUGGCCUCUGUAUUUAUGCCCCAAGUAUGAAACACCCUGCCUGAGGACCUGACAGAGGCCCCCCACACUGAACACAAACAUUUCUCUUUAAAACAGUCUAUGGCUAACCUCUUGGCGCGAGCGAUUAGUUUCCUUGUCGAUUAAUCUGUUGAUUAUUUUCUCGAUUAAUUGUUUGG